rnacentral:rRNA from 1 species
UAGGGAAUCUUCCGCAAUGGGCGAAAGCUUGACGGAGCAACGCCGCGUGAGUGAUGAAGGUCUUCGGAUCGUAAAACUCUGUUAUUAGGGAAGAACAAAUGUGUAAGUAACUAUGCACGUCUUGACGGUACCUAAUCAGAAAGCCACGGCUAACUACGUGCCAGCAGCCGCGGUAAUACGUAGGUGGCAAGCGUUAUCCGGAAUUAUUGGGCGUAAAGCGCGCGUAGGCGGUUUUUUAAGUCUGAUGUGAAAGUCCACGGCUCAACCGUGGAGGGUCAUUGGAAACUGGAAAACUUGAGUGCAGAAGAGGAAAGUGGAAUUCCAUGUGUAGCGGUGAAAUGCGCAGAGAUAUGGAGGAACACCAGUGGCGAAGGCGACUUUCUGGUCUGUAACUGACGCUGAUGUGCGAAAGCGUGGGGAUCAAACAGG